rnacentral:ncRNA from 1 species
GAACCCGUGCGGUGACGUACGGCUGAAUUGCAAGAAGUCAGCAGAGGUCAUAGUACCGAGUUUUUCGGGAAGGAC